GAGGGUUCUGCUCUGCUGCACCCGGGCUCUCCAUGCACACCCAGAUCAGGUCAUCUUCAUCAAGGCAUCGACUCAUCUGCCAGUGAGAAGAUUGCCCCUGCACUUGCUGAUUCACAAGGACCUUCAACUCCAGAUUUGAACUGUGGAGACAUCCAGCGUUAUGAGCUGAGCAGCUAUCGGUUUCUCAACCCCUCCAGCAUCUAGACAAACACCGUUGGAUAACCCAGGUCAUCUAUCUGGAGCUGCUGCUAUGUGCUUCACAGUUGCAGAAGGAUCUCAAGUCAUCAUUGAUAACAAUCAAGGAUGAACUCUGCUGUUGCCGCCACAGGAAGCCAUUUGUCCAUGAUGAGCAACUAGAGACUGUUUGCUUGCGCCGCUUUUCUUACGGCUCCUCUCCUUCAUUCUCAACGCCAACCUGAACAUUCUUUACCCAGCCAAUAUCAUCCUAUGCUGAACUACUCUGGACUCAAUAGAAAAAGGAAUUCUGGUCUCUUUCCGGUUUCCAUCACUAUUAAGAACGGUAUUUCUAUGUGUCAAGUGCACACGGCUGCCCAAUAGGGCAAACUUGCUGUUUCUCAGCAAUGUUAGGUGGUCCAUUUGCAGAAUUAAGUCAAAGCAAAUUUACUUUUGUCCCAUUUGGCAUACACUAAAAACCACCAAAGCUUUCCAAACCUCCUUCGAGUAGAAAACUUGCAAAACUGAGAGCAAGACCACCCUUCCCCCAGUUCUCACAGACCACCUCCAGGCCUGCCAUAUCCUGAGUCUAGCCGGCCAGGACACCUGUCAACUCAAAAUGCCAUUCCUUUAGCAGCAUGUAACCUAACAGAAUAUCCUUGAAGGUUUUUUCUUUGUCAAUAUUCCUGCUUUCACCCAAUGUCAAGGAUUUCCAGCCUGUUUCCUUUACUCCCUUUAUGCCCAUGUAGAAUCUCUGAUAAAGUUAUAAUAUUAUAGUCUAAGUGUGCAGAACAGAAUACAAAUAGAUCUGUAAGUCAACUCCAGCCAGUAGGAAAAGGUGACCUUUUAGGAAACAUCAGCCGAACAAUGAGCUCAGCGCUUUUGUGUCUUACCUGGGAAUAUCUUUCAGGUUUGUCAUUUGUCAAUGUGAAUUAUCUGUUACUCUCAGUAUCAAAGGCUGUCUUACAAACUCAAGAACUCUAUCAUAAGUUAUAAUAUUCUCAACAAUAUUGGCAGACUCCUCUAUUUAGUUGAGAAUAAUAUUGGUUUUCUUGAUAUGAAGUUAUGAACUUCUGGUCACCUUUUUCUUGUCUUUUGCAAGUAGAAAGCAUUGAUUUGCUUCUGAACAUAUGCCUUUGAGCGCAUUCCCCGCUGUGAAGAAACUCUAAGAGUCUGAUAAUUUAUCAAAUCAAUUUUAAGUAAACGAAAGCAAGACUCAUUUGCAAUCAUUGCCAGAAUUAAUAAAAAUAUCAUUCUAAGGAUAUUUAAUGUGCUUAAGUAAUCAUCAGUUUAAAAAAAUCAGAUUAUCCCAUUUUAAUUUCAGCUCACAGUGUUGAGAUAUAUAGACAGGAUAUAAUAUUCAACUUUAAAUAAAUAAACAUGAGUCCAAACUAUCUGAGUUGAAAUUAGCACUUCCCAUUCUGUAUAUGAAGUAUGAGGCUUACCUGGAGAAAGCAGUUAUUCUAAUCAAAACCCAAGUCAAACCUAGCAUAUGAGCCCACCUCUUCUUUAUCCCAUUAAUAUCUGCUCAGCUUACCUUCCACAACCCAUGGGGUGAGGCAGCAGACUCCCAGGAAAGUCAGGAGGAGAGGUCUCAUGGCUGAGGUCUCGCUGAGCUGUGCAGGAAGAAUGUGGAGCAGACUCCCCAGGAGCCCCUUUUAUUAGCCUCAAUGUUGUGAGGCUAAGGUCGGAUCUUCCAUCCUGAAGCCAGUCCGUGUCAUGGCUCAGUGUGAUAACUGGGCAACGGAAAUGAGGUGGUGUGGUCACGGUGGUCCAUCCCACCUGCUGCCUGGGACUGAAGGCGUCAACAACCACAAAUCAGCCCCCGGUGGCCCUGCCUGACUCCACAGGAAAGCAAAGAGCUCACUGCUGUUCUGGCUUCUCCUUCUUCAUCUCCUCCUUCCUUAGCCUUGCUCAGGUUGCACCCAUUUCUUCAACAGGAGGAGGAACAACAGCAUGUCUCUAUGCAUGCUUGCUGUUUGGGGGAAACAGAAAUACACAGGUCUGGUUAAGCUUAUUGAAAAGCUGUUCUACAAUCUUAUCUUAGAAAAAAAAAAAAAAAAAAGAGUUCCAUCCCCAGCACCUGCAUCUGUGCACUUCACAGUCACUUAUCACUCCUGCUCCAGGGAAUCUGAUGGCCUCCUCUGAUCUCCAUGAGCACCUGACUACAGGCUCAGGUAGACUCAAAUACAUACAAGUAAAUAAAUAAAAUAAAAGUUCCAGAAAUCUCCCUUCUAAGGGUGUUCAUGUACACAAUCAUGAUCAUGACAAUUGCUGUUUCAGCAAAUUAAAAAGUUAAAUAGCUGCUCCUGUUUCUUCUGUCUUUGCUCUUGUACUUUGAGUAAGCUUACAUGCAUUAAAUAGCCUCCUCUGCUACUACGACACAGAUACAGCUACAAGGUUAUUUUUUUCAAUAGUAUAAUCUGGCCUGAUUCCAUUAAUAAUUUGGAAGAUGGAUAGUGGGAGAAGGCAUACUGCUGUGCUUGUAGCUCUUGCUACCUUUAUAUAAUCUUCCCAAAAUAUAGUUUUCAUUUGCAAUGUCUCCAACAGAGUUUAAGUAUAUCGAUUAUACCAACCUUUCUGAUAUUCCAUUUUAGUUUUGUUUCUUAGUUUAUAUAGUUAUCAAUAAAGUAUGUUUACUG
ensembl:processed_transcript